AGAGACAGCAGUCGCCGCGGUAAGACAGAGGAUGCAAGCGUUAUCCGGAAUUACUGGGCGUAAAGCGUGCGUAGGUGGUGGUUUAAGUCCGUUGUGAAAGCCCUGGGCUCAACCUGGGAAUUGCAGUGGAUACUGGGUCACUAGAGUGUGGUAGAGGAUAGUGGAAUUUCCGGUGUAGCAGUGAAAUGCGUAGAGAUUGGAAGGAACAUCUGUGGCGAAGGCGACUAUCUGGGCCAACACUGACACUGAGGCACGAAAGCGUGGGGAGCAAACAGGAUUAGAUACCCCCGUAGUCCCUGUCUCUUAUAC
rnacentral:rRNA from 1 species